AGCCUUAUAGUACAUAACAAACAAUACAGUAAACUGCAACUUUACAAAAGCACAAUGCUAAGGCAU
rnacentral:tRNA from 1 species